rnacentral:rRNA from 1 species
AGGAAUAUUGCACAAUGGGGGAAACCCUGAUGCAGCAACGCCGCGUGGAGGAUGACGCAUUUCGGUGUGUAAACUCCUUUUAUAUGUCAAGAAAAUGACGGUAGCAUAUGAAUAAGCACCGGCUAACUCCGUGCCAGCAGCCGCGGUAAUACGGAGGGUGCAAGCGUUACUCGGAAUCACUGGGCGUAAAGGACGCGUAGGCGGGUUGGAAAGUCAGAUGUGAAAUCCUACAGCUUAACUGUAGAACUGCAUUUGAAACUUCUAAUCUAGAGUAUGGGAGGGGGAGAUGGAAUUAGUGGUGUAGGGGUAAAAUCCGUAGAUAUCACUAGGAAUACCGAAAGCGAAGGCGAUCUCCUGGAACAUAACUGACGCUAAGGCGUGAAAGCGUGGGGAGCAAACAGGAUUAGAUACCCUGGUAGUCCACGCCCUAAACGAUGAACACUAGUCGUCGGGAUGCUAGUCAUCUCGGUGAUGCACUUAACAGAUUAAGUGUUCCGCCUGGGGAGUACGGUCGCAAGAUUAAAACUCAAAGGAAUAGACGGGGACCCGCACAAGUGGUGGAGCAUGUGGUUUAAUUCGAAGAUACGCGAAGAACCUUACCUAGCCUUGACAUUGAUUGAACACACUAGAGAUAGAGUGGUGCCCUUCGGGGAACAUGAAAACAGGUGCUGCACGGCUGUCGUCAGCUCGUGUCGUGAGAUGUUGGGUUAAGUCCCGCAACGAGCGCAACCCUCGUCCUUAGUUGCUAGCAGUUCGGCUGAGCACUCUAAGGAGACUGCCUUCGUAAGGAGGAGGAAGGUGAGGACGACGUCAAGUCAUCAUGGCCCUUAUGGCUAGGGCUACACACGUGCUACAAUGGGGCGUACAGAGUGUUGCGAUACCGCGAGGUGGAGCUAAUCACUUAAAGCGUCUCUCAGUUCGGAUUGGAGUCUGCAACUCGACUCCAUGAAGCUGGAAUCACUAGUAAUCGUAGAAAAGCAAUGCUACGGUGAAUACGU